rnacentral:rRNA from 1 species
UGGGGAAUAUUGCACAAUGGGCGAAAGCCUGAUGCAGCAACGCCGCGUGAGUGAUGAAGGCCUUCGGGUUGUAAAGCUCUGUCUUUUGGGACGAUAAUGACGGUACCAAAGGAGGAAGCCACGGCUAACUACGUGCCAGCAGCCGCGGUAAUACGUAGGUGGCAAGCGUUGUCCGGAUUUACUGGGCGUAAAGGAUGCGUAGGCGGAUUUUUAAGUGAGAUGUGAAAACCCUAAGCUUAACUUGGGGACUGCAUUUCAUACUGGAAAUCUAGAGUGCGGGAGAGGAGAAUGGAAUUCCUAGUGUAGCGGUGAAAUGCGUAGAGAUUAGGAAGAACACCAGUGGCGAAGGCGAUUCUCUGGACCGUAACUGACGCUGAGGCAUGAAAGCGUGGGUAGCAAACAGGAUUAGAUACCCUGGUAGUCCACGCCGUAAACGAUGAGUACUAGGUGUAGGAGGUAUCGACCCCUUCUGUGCCGCAGUUAACACAAUAAGUACUCCGCCUGGGAAGUACGAUCGCAAGAUUAAAAACUCAAAGGAAUUGACGGGGUC